rnacentral:rRNA from 1 species
UACGCAUUUCACCGCUACACAGGAAAUUCCACCACCCUCUACCGUACUCUAGCUCAGUAGUUUUGGAUGCAGUUCCCAGGUUGAGCCCGGGGAUUUCACAUCCAACUUGCUGAACCACCUACGCGCGCUUUACGCCCAGUAAUUCCGAUUAACGCUUGCACCCUUCGUAUUACCGCGGCUGCUGGCACGAAGUUAGCCGGUGCUUAUUCUGUUGGUAACGUCAAAACAGCAAGGUAUUAACUUACUGCCCUUCCUCCCAACUUAAAGUGCUUUACAAUCCGAAGACCUUCUUCACACACGCGGCAUGGCUGGAUCAGGCUUUCGCCCAUUGUCCAAUAUUCCCCACUGCUGCCUCCCGUAGGAGUCUGGACCGUGUCUCAGUUCCAGUGUGACUGAUCAUCCUCUCAGACCAGUUACGGAUCGUCGCCUUGGUAGGCCUUUA